rnacentral:rRNA from 1 species
GGGGAAUAUUGCACAAUGGGGGAAACCCUGAUGCAGCGACGCCGCGUGAGUGAAGAAGUAUUUCGGUAUGUAAAGCUCUAUCAGCAGGGAAGAUAAUGACAGUACCUGACUAAGAAGCCCCGGCUAACUACGUGCCAGCAGCCGCGGUAAUACGUAGGGGGCAAGCGUUAUCCGGAUUUACUGGGUGUAAAGGGAGCGUAGACGGAAUGGCAAGUCUGAAGUGAAAUACCCGGGCUCAACCUGGGAACUGCUUUGGAAACUGUUGUUCUAGAGUGUUGGAGAGGUAAGUGGAAUUCCUGGUGUAGCGGUGAAAUGCGUAGAUAUCAGGAAGAACACCGGAGGCGAAGGCGGCUUACUGGACAAUAACUGACGUUGAGGCUCGAAAGCGUGGGGAUCAAACAGGAUUAGAUACCCUGGUAGUCCACGCUGUAAACGAUGAAUACUAGGUGUCGGGGUACAAAGUAUCUCGGUGCCGUCGCUAACGCAAUAAGUAUUCCACCUGGGGAGUACGUUCGCAAGAAUG